AGGACUGUUUUUUCCCACCAGGUGUGGCCCAGGUGGCAGGUGGCUGGGAGCCCAGGCCAGUCUCCCACAGGGAGCAGGUGGGCAGACGUGUCCGGGCUCCAGUACCCGACUAUCCUGUUGUUCGUGUGGCAUGCGGUGGAGGAAGUUGGGAGGCUACUCUGGGUCAAGUCUGUGGCCAUCGCAUCACAGAGAAAGGAUUUAGUCAGAGGAGCCUUUGCAGGGAAGCCUCCAGCGAGCCCUGCACGUGGUCAUGUCCAGCGAGAGAAUAGGAAAGAAGGAAAACACGGCCCCCCAUCCUCAAGGACGAAGCAUAACCACAGCCAGUGGAAUUUCAGUGAAGCAUUUUUGGACCGUGACACACAGUAAAAAUACAUUUACCAUAUGAAUCAUGACCCAAUACCUCUAUCCAUCCAUCCACCCAUCCAUCCACAAUAAAACUUUAAUGAACCCUGGCUAGGAGCGGUCCAGCCUGAUAUUUUCUGUUCCCUUCUGUUUUUCUAACCCUGUCCCACAACCCGCUAAGCCCAUCUCGUGACCCACAGAGGGAUUGUUAUCC
rnacentral:lncRNA from 1 species